GUUAUGGCUCAGUGGUAGAGCUCUUACCUCACACGUGCAAAGCUCUGGGUUCGAUCCUCAGUACAACA
rnacentral:tRNA from 1 species